rnacentral:tmRNA from 1 species
GGGGUUAUAUUGGUAUUUGACAGCGGGUAGAGAUGGUACGUAAGCAUGCGGAGCUUCGUUUGUUGGCUCCUUAAUCUCAGCAAUCAGCAAAUUUAAUUGGCGAAACUUCUUACGCUCUUGCAGCUUGAUCGAAGUAUAGUAGAUUAGCUUUAUUUCAUCGAUAGUCGGUGGAACAAGACAUCACUCAGCAGCUCUUUUUCCGAAGCGUCUGACAAAGUGGUGCACGGAAAUCGGAAAUAGUCAUGGCGGAGUCUUGACACCAUGAUGAAAAUUAAAAGACUAAGAUUACAGUUGGUGGUUCGGGUCUUGCUGUGAUACGAAAAUGAAGUCCGAAAUAAGCAUGUAGAAAGCGUAUGGUUUCCUCGUUUGGACGAGGGUUCGACUCCCUCUAACUCCACGA